rnacentral:tRNA from 1 species
GCCUGGAUAGCUCAGUGGGUUAGAGCAUGGUGCUUAUAAGACUAAGGUUGCAGGUUUGAUCCCCAUAUGGGGCA